rnacentral:rRNA from 1 species
GUACACAAAAAUGCACAUAUUGUGAGCUCGAUGAGUAGGGCGGGACACGUGGUAUCCUGUCUGAAUAUGGGGGGACCAUCCUCCAAGGCUAAAUACUCCUGACUGACCGAUAGUGAACCAGUACCGUGAGGGAAAGGCGAAAAGAACCCCGGCGAGGGGAGUGAAAAAGAACCUGAAACCGUGUACGUACAAGCAGUGGGAGCCUCUUAAUGGGGUGACUGCGUACCUUUUGUAUAAUGGGUCAGCGACUUAUAUUCUGUAGCAAGGUUAACCGAAUAGGGGAGCCGAAGGGAAACCGAGUCUUAACUGGGCGUUAAGUUGCAGGGUAUAGACCCGAAACCCGGUGAUCUAGCCAUGGGCAGGUUGAAGGUUGGGUAACACUAACUGGAGGACCGAACCGACUAAUGUUGAAAAAUUAGCGGAUGACUUGUGGCUGGGGGUGAAAGGCCAAUCAAACCGGGAGAUAGCUGGUUCUCCCCGAAAGCUAUUUAGGUAGCGCCUCGUGAAUUCAUCUCCGGGGGUAGAGCACUGUUUCGGCAAGGGGGUCAUCCCGACUUACCAACCCGAUGCAAACUGCGAAUACCGGAGAAUGUUAUCACGGGAGACACACGGCGGGUGCUAACGUCCGUCGUGAAGAGGGAAACAACCCAGACCGCCAGCUAAGGUCCCAAAGUCAUGGUUAAGUGGGAAACGAUGUGGGAAGGCCCAGACAGCCAGGAUGUUGGCUUAGAAGCAGCCAUCAUUUAAAGAAAGCGUAAUAGCUCACUGGUCGAGUCGGCCUGCGCGGAAGAUGUAACGGGGCUAAACCAUGCACCGAAGCUGCGGCAGCGACACUAUGUGUUGUUGGGUAGGGGAGCGUUCUGUAAGCCUGUGAAGGUGGCCUGUGAGGGUUGCUGGAGGUAUCAGAAGUGCGAAUGCUGACAUAAGUAACGAUAAAGCGGGUGAAAAGCCCGCUCGCCGGAAGACCAAGGGUUCCUGUCCAACGUUAAUCGGGGCAGGGUGAGUCGACCCCUAAGGCGAGGCCGAAAGGCGUAGUCGAUGGGAAACAGGUUAAUAUUCCUGUACUUGGUGUUACUGCGAAGGGGGGACGGAGAAGGCUAUGUUGGCCGGGCGACGGUUGUCCCGGUUUAAGCGUGUAGGCUGGUUUUCCAGGCAAAUCCGGAAAACCAAGGCUGAGGCGUGAUGACGAGGCACUACGGUGCUGAAGCGACAAAUGCCCUGCUUCCAGGAAAAGCCUCUAAGCAUCAGGUAACAUCAAAUCGUACCCCAAACCGACACAGGUGGUCAGGUAGAGAAUACCAAGGCGCUUGAGAGAACUCGGGUGAAGGAACUAGGCAAAAUGGUGCCGUAACUUCGGGAGAAGGCACGCUGAUAUGUAGGUGAAGCGACUUGCUCGUGGAGCUGAAAUCAGUCGAAGAUACCAGCUGGCUGCAACUGUUUAUUAAAAACACAGCACUGUGCAAACACGAAAGUGGACGUAUACGGUGUGACGCCUGCCCGGUGCCGGAAGGUUAAUUGAUGGGGUUAGCGGUAACGCGAAGCUCUUGAUCGAAGCCCCGGUAAACGGCGGCCGUAACUAUAACGGUCCUAAGGUAGCGAAAUUCCUUGUCGGGUAAGUUCCGACCUGCACGAAUGGCGUAAUGAUGGCCAGGCUGUCUCCACCCGAGACUCAGUGAAAUUGAACUCGCUGUGAAGAUGCAGUGUACCCGCGGCAAGACGGAAAGACCCCGUGAACCUUUACUAUAGCUUGACACUGAACAUUGAGCCUUGAUGUGUAGGAUAGGUGGGAGGCUUUGAAGUGUGGACGCCAGUCUGCAUGGAGCCGACCUUGAAAUACCACCCUUUAAUGUUUGAUGUUCUAACGUUGGCCCGUAAUCCGGGUUGCGGACAGUGUCUGGUGGGUAGUUUGACUGGGGCGGUCUCCUCCUAAAGAGUAACGGAGGAGCACGAAGGUUGGCUAAUCCUGGUCGGACAUCAGGAGGUUAGUGCAAUGGCAUAAGCCAGCUUGACUGCGAGCGUGACGGCGCGAGCAGGUGCGAAAGCAGGUCAUAGUGAUCCGGUGGUUCUGAAUGGAAGGGCCAUCGCUCAACGGAUAAAAGGUACUCCGGGGAUAACAGGCUGAUACCGCCCAAGAGUUCAUAUCGACGGCGGUGUUUGGCACCUCGAUGUCGGCUCAUCACAUCCUGGGGCUGAAGUAGGUCCCAAGGGUAUGGCUGUUCGCCAUUUAAAGUGGUACGCGAGCUGGGUUUAGAACGUCGUGAGACAGUUCGGUCCCUAUCUGCCGUGGGCGCUGGAGAACUGAGGGGGGCUGCUCCUAGUACGAGAGGACCGGAGUGGACGCAUCACUGGUGUUCGGGUUGUCAUGCCAAUGGCACUGCCCGGUAGCUAAAUGCGGAAGAGAUAAGUGCUGAAAGCAUCUAAGCACGAAACUUGCCCCGAGAUGAGUUCUCCCUGAGACUUAGAGUCUCCUGAAGGAACGUUGAAGACGACGACGUUGAUAGGCCGGGUGUGUAAGCGCAGCGAUGCGUUGAGCUAACCGGUACUAAUGAACCGUGAGGCUUAACCUUACAACGCCGAAG